AGUGAACGCUGGCGGUAGGCCUAACACAUGCAAGUCGAACGGCAGCACAGUAAGAGCUUGCUCUUACGGGUGGCGAGUGGCGGACGGGUGAGGAAUACAUCGGAAUCUACUUUUUCGUGGGGGAUAACGUAGGGAAACUUACGCUAAUACCGCAUACGACCUACGGGUGAAAGCAGGGGAUCUUCGGACCUUGCGCGAUUGAAUGAGCCGAUGUCGGAUUAGCUAGUUGGCGGGGUAAAGGCCCACCAAGGCGACGAUCCGUAGCUGGUCUGAGAGGAUGGUUAGCCACACUGGAACCGAGGACACGUCCAGACUCCCAAGGGAGGGAGCAGGGGGGAAUAAUGGACAAAGGGCGGAAACCCGAUCCCACCAAACCGGGGGGGGGAAAGAAGGCUUUCGGUUGUAAAAGCCUUUUUUUGGGAAAGAAAAGCAGCCGGUUAAUACCCCGCUGUUCUGACGGUACCCAAAGAAUAAGCACCGGCUAACUUCGUG
rnacentral:rRNA from 1 species